UACGGAAGGCAGCAGUGGGGAAUAUUGCACAAUGGGCGCAAGCCUGAUGCAGCCAUGCCGCGUGUAUGAAGAAGGCCUUCGGGUUGUAAAGUACUUUCAGUCGUGAGGAAGGUGUUAAGGUUAAUAACCUUAGCAAUUGACGUUAGCGACAGAAGAAGCACCGGCUAACUCCGUGCCAGCAGCCGCGGUAAUACGGAGGGUGCGAGCGUUAAUCGGAAUUACUGGGCGUAAAGGGCACGCAGGCGGUUAAUUAAGUUGGAUGUGAAAUCCCCGGGCUUAACCUGGGAAUGGCAUUCAAGACUGGUUAGCUAGAGUCUUGUAGAGGGGGUAGAAUUCCAUGUGUAGCGGUGAAAUGCGUAGAGAUGUGGAGGAAGUACCGGUGGCGAAGGCGGCCCCGUGGACGAAAGACUGACGCUCAUGUGCGAAGCGUGGGGAGCAAACGAGGAUUAGAUACC
rnacentral:rRNA from 1 species